CCAUAUCAUAUUGAAACACUGGUUCUCAUACAAUCACCAAAGUUAAGCAAGGUUGAGCCUGGUCAGUACCUAGAUGAGUAACCACUUGGUAAUACCAGGUGUCAU
rnacentral:rRNA from 1 species